CCCUUAGAUGCUCUGGGCCGCACGCGCGCAACACUGGUCGAUGCAACGAGUUUCUUUCCUUGGCCGACAGGCCUGGGCAAUCUUUGAACAUCGAUCGUGAUCGGGAUAGAUUCUUGUAAUUUUUGAUCUUAAACGAGGAAUUCCUAGUAAACGCAAGUCAUCAGCUUGCAUUGAUUACGUCCCUGCCCUUUGUACACACCGCCCGUCGCACCUACCGAUUGAAUGGUCCGGUGAAGCCUCGGGAUUGUGACAGGUGCCUUUAUUGGUGUCAGUUGCAAGAACUUGUCUGAACCUUAUCAUUUAGAGGAAGGUGAAGUCGUAACA
rnacentral:rRNA from 1 species